AGCAGUGUGGCUUAGUGGAAAGAGCUCUGACUUGGGAGUCAGAGGCCGAGGGAUCUAAUCCCGGCUCUGCCA
rnacentral:tRNA from 1 species